AAUCAACGCUGGCGGCGUGCCUCAGACAUGCAAGUCGAACGCGAAAGUCCCCUUCGGGGGACGAAGUAGAGUGGCGCACGGGUGAGUAACACGUAGGUAAUCCACCUUCGGAUGGGAAGUAACAACCGGAAACGGUUGCUAAUACCGCCAUAAUGCAGCGGCACCUAAUGGUGACAGUUGUUAAAGCGGGGGGAUCGAAAGACCUCGCGUCUGAAGAGGAGCCUGCGGCGGAUUA
rnacentral:rRNA from 1 species